GACGUAGGGCGCGAGCGUUGUCCGGAUUUAUUGGGCGUAAAGAGCUCGUAGGCGGCUUGUCGCGUCGUUCGUGAAAACCUGUGGCUCAACUACAGGCUUGCGGUCGAUACGGGCAGGCUGGAGUUCGGUAGGGGAGACUGGAAUUCCUGGUGUAGCGGUGAAAUGCGCAGAUAUCGGGAAGAACACCUAUGGCGAAGGCAGCUCUCUGGGACGGUACUGACGCUGAGACGCGAAAGCGUGGGGAGCGAACAGG
rnacentral:rRNA from 1 species